AUACAAAUUAAAUAUUAGUUUAAUCUAUAUAUAUAAAGUUUACUUUUCUCAUUCGUGGUGCUGCCACCUCAACUACUCCUUCUAUUUAAUGAGACCAAAUUUUAUAAACUACCCACUAACCAUUUUCUAUUGUUUUUUGGACCAAAUUUCUUUAAAACCCCUAAUUAUUUGAGACUCCUAAUAUGACACGUCGGUUAGAUUUUAGGUUGCUUUCUAUGACUAUAUAUAUAUGUAGGAUUUCGAGGGAGGUUCGACCUCACCUCCUUCUUCACAUUUAAAAACGAAACGUCCUUCUUCUACUUCCAAUCGUUUCACAUCCUAUAUGAGGGUUUCACCUUUUCUUAUUUCAUUGUUUUCUCGGGUAUAUGCAAGUUCCAGAGAUGAAACUGGUCUCAUGGACGUUAAUUAGGAUUAGGGCUUAAACGUUUCAAAUCCUGGUGAUAAUGACAUAUUGUUCGGGGAAGUGCAAGUCAUUCCGGAAUAUUUAAAAACCUUGACUGAUGGUUUCAGUUUGGUUUAUCAAUCAAUUACGUAGCCAAAAACGCCAGGUGAAAAGCUUUGGAUGAGGAGAAAAAUCCAGAGACCUACAUACGAAGACUCCUCCAAUUGCUAAAUCAUAGGAAGUUAAGAAAAAGAAACGUCACUGCGAAAGAGUUUGAAAGUUAUAAAUGCUAAGCUUCCACAACGUAACUGCCUCAAAUUAAGGUUAGACUAAUAGACAUUCUCUUAUUCAACACUCUGAUAUAAUUUGUAAGAUUGUCAUGGCAAUUAAAUACAAAUCUGAUCAGUUUUAAAUUUUUAUUUUUGUCAAAGGUAUAGAACUUACACUUUUGUAUAUUAGAUAUUUUAUAAACUUCAUGCUAUUGCAUGAUUAGAACAUAUAUACAUACUACAUUGAACAUAGUAUAUCCUCACUAUACAUAUUUCUCAAGAAUCCCAAAAUGGUUACUAAUUUAUUCGUUGCAACUCUUGUGACAUUUUUGUUACAAAUAAAA